GUGUCCUCCCCCCGCAGUCAUGGCUGCUUCUCUGACCUUCGGGGCCGGAACCUCCGUGGGCCCGUUGCCUUCCUUGUGGCCACAGCCGCCGUGAAGCCAACCAGGCAGCACAAAGAUGUGGUGCUGAACUUGAGCGUGUCUAGCCAGCUAGGCGAGGCGGCCUGCAGGUGCUGCUCAGCCAGGUGCAGCCCCAGCAGCAGGGCCCACAGGCAGGUGCAGAAGGCAUCGAUCCUCCGGAGCCU
rnacentral:lncRNA from 1 species